GGGAUAUGCAGUAGACGGUUCUACGUUUUGAUUGCAGAUCUUAAAUAAGGGUUCGAUUCCCCCAUAUCCCA
rnacentral:tRNA from 2 species